GACAGCAGCCGCGCGGUAAUACAGAGGGUGCGAGCGUUAAUCGGAUUUACUGGGCGUAAAGCGUGCGUAGGCGGCUUUUUAAGUCGGAUGUGAAAUCCCUGAGCUUAACUUAGGAAUUGCAUUCGAUACUGGGAAGCUAGAGUAUGGGAGAGGAUGGUAGAAUUCCAGGUGUAGCGGUGAAAUGCGUAGAGAUCUGGAGGAAUACCGAUGGCGAAGGCAGCCAUCUGGCCUAAUACUGACGCUGAGGUACGAAAGCAUGGGGAGCAAACAGGAUUAGAUACCCGUGUAGUCCCUGUCUCUUAUACA
rnacentral:rRNA from 1 species